GAAAACAUCCAGUGCUGCUUUUCCUAAAGGAACACUGAAAGACGGAGAGAUGAGAGCAUGCAGAGCCUGAUGUUUAAGCACAGGAAAAUUGGCAGCCUUCAUGAUCAUGCGGUAAAUCACCCUCAUAUUCAUUGCAGCAUUAUUCAUAAUAGCCAAGAGACUUAAAGUUUUCACUGACAGAUGAACAAAUGAAGAAAAUUGGUAUCCAAAUACAAUGGAAU
rnacentral:lncRNA from 1 species